rnacentral:rRNA from 1 species
UACGUAGGGUGCGAGCGUUGUCCGGAAUCACUGGGCUUAAAGGGCGCGUAGGCGGGCCGCCGCGUCCGGGGUGAAAUCCCCCCGCUCAACGGGGGAACGGCCUCGGAUACGGGCGGUCUGGAGGCGGGUAGGGGCACGCGGAACUGUGGGUGGAGCGGUGAAAUGCGUUGAGAUCCACAGGAACGCCGGUGGCGAAAGCGCGCGACUGGACCUCUUCUGACGCUGAGGCGCGAAAGCCAGGGGAGCGAACAGG